rnacentral:ncRNA from 1 species
AAAAAGUUUUAUUCUAGCUUAAAGGUUAAGUAAUUUAAUGUUUUUAUAUGCAAUUUUUUAUCAGAGCUUAAUUUAAAUAGUUAAGUUGUUAUAGAGCAGUAUCUAAUUUUAAUAAUUAAAGAGAUUUAGAAUUAGGAAUUAAAUUUAACAUUGGUUAAACUUAUGCCAGCCGCCGCGGUUAGAUAAGUGAUGUGACUUAGUUUUUUCAGUAUUAAUUAAUUUAAAUAAUAAUAAAAUUUAAAAUUGUAUUUAUUAGGUGAAAUUUUAAAUAUAAAUGAAAUUUAUGUAUUGUUUUUAAGGUUGAAAAAUUUAGUAUUAAACUAGGAUUAGAUACCCUAUUAUUAUAAAUGUAACUUAAAAAGUACUAAAUGAUUAAUAGUUAUGAUCUUUAAAAUUAAAGGAUUUGGCGGUAUUUUAGUCUAUUCAGAGGAACCUGUUCUAUAAUUGAUAAUCCACGAUUUAUAGGACUUAUUUUAAUUAGUUUGUAUAUCGUCGUAGUUAGAAUAUUUUAGGAGAAUUAAAAUAUUCAAGAUUUUUUUAAGAAAGGAAAUCAGAUCAAGAUGCAGCUUAUAGAUAAGGAGAAAUGGGUUACUAUAUUUAAAAAUUAUUGGAAUAGUAAUUUAAAAUUAUUAUGAAAUUGGAUUUGACAGUAAUUUUAAUUAAUUUAUUAAAAUGAUUUAGCUCUAAAAUAUGUACAUAUCGCCCGUCGCUUUCACUUUAAAGUGAAAUAAGUCGUAACAAAGUAGGCUUACUGGAAAGUGUGCCUGGAAAGAC